rnacentral:rRNA from 1 species
UACGGAGGGUGCGAGCGUUGUUCGGAAUCACUGGGCGUAAAGCGCGUGUAGGCGGCCUUGUAAGUUUGGUGUGAAAGCCCGGGGCUUACCCCGGAAGUGCACUGGAGACUGCAAGGCUAGAGUACCGGAGAGGAAAGUGGAAUUCCUGGUGGUAGCGGUGAAAUGCGUAGAGUAUCAAGGAGGAACACCGGUGGCGAAGGCGG